rnacentral:rRNA from 1 species
AGAGUUUGAUCCUGGUCCUAAAUGUUUCCUGGCGGCAGGCUUAACACAUGCAAGUCGAACGAGAAGCCGGACUUCGGUCUGGUGGAGAGUGGCGCACGGGUGAGUAACGCGUGGGGAUUUACCCAGCAGUACGGGAUAACAUCGGGAAACCGGUGCUAAUACCGCAUACGCCCUUCGGGGGAAAGAUUUAUCGCUGUUGGAUGAACCCGCGUAAGAUUAGAUAGUUGGUGGGGUAAUGGCCUACCAAGUCGACGAUCUUUAGCUGGUCUGAGAGGAUGAUCAGCCACACUGGAACUGAGACACGGUCCAGACUCCUACGGGAGGCAGCAGUGGGGAAUAUUGGACAAUGGGCGCAAGCCUGAUCCAGCCAUGCCGCGUGAGUGAUGAAGGCCUUAGGGUUGUAAAGCUCUUUCAUCGGUGAAGAUAAUGACGGUAACCGAAGAAGAAGCCCCGGCUAACUCCGUGCCAGCAGCCGCGGUAAUACGGAGGGGGCUAG